rnacentral:lncRNA from 1 species
AGGAGGAACCGGAGCUUUAACAAAGAAAAUUGAGAUGCCCGAAGGGGGAUGUCUAAUUUUUAUCCCAUUUCACAAUUGAAUUGUAAAUCGUGUUGGAGCUAAGCUCCCAGGCCCAGGUCUGAUUGCACUGAGACAUGACUCGGAGGAGCGGUCGAGGGCUGCAGCCACUUCCCCAUACCCCUGGGCUUUCCCCUCCGGCCCCGCCAGCUCCCAGACCAACGCAAACCGCAGAGGAUGCAGGUGACCCUGGGCCCUCGGGCUGCAGCUGAGCUCCUGAAACCAGCCCAUGGGGCACUGCUCAGGUUCACUUGUGGUGAGCAACACCAGGGGCUCGUGUUGGCAGCUCAUUGCAGACUCAAACGGCAGGAUGUUUGUGAGGUUUAGACACUGUAAGAAGCGAGGUUAGCUUUGGAGAUCGGGUUUCCAUUUAUUUACGAACAGUCUGAUGGCCGCCUCCGUGUCCUGGGCCUUCUCAUUCACAGGCGCCCACAGCACUCUCUCCUGGAUCCUUCCAUGACCUGCAGAAGGAAGCCCCACUGUCCCAGCGUCCAGGCGAGGAAGCAGAAGCAUGACCCAGCCCAAGACUCAGAGCUGGGCCGUGGCAGGGACAGACUGCCCACCAGGAUCUGCUUGGUGGGGACACUGGUGCCUUUCACAAUGACAGGCCCUUCCUUGUGUGCUCCAGCACUGGCUCCUGAUAAGAGUGACACUUGGAGAGCAGCAGUCCCAUGAGGCAGACAUGCAUGACAAUCGGUUGCCAAGGUCAGGGUAAGCGGGCGACUUUAGCCCUCACGUGGUGAGGUGCUUGUGCCUGUAGCGUGCUGCUGGCUGCAGCUCCGGCCCUGAACCCUCCAUCCUGGCGGGUAGGAGGCCUCGCCGGCUGGACAGCAACAAGCACAGGGUUUAGACCCAGAGCAGCAGGAGCCUUUGCUCCCUGCCCUUCCGACCUCCUCCCUGCUCAUUCCAGAAACUGUUCCUAUUUUAGGCCACAGUCACUUCUAUGCCACCUAGGAAGACAGCUGGGGCCCCACUAACAAGCACACCAUCCUGUUCUUCCAAAGCAACCAAAGUCUUACCUUCCUGGCCACUCUGCAGCCCCCUCAGCGACCCCAGGCCUUGCCUGCUGACACCAUGUCCAGCCAACAGAUGUGGACAUGAGCCCGAAUUUGUCCACAGCCUGGCACAUGUGUGAGAGAAGAGAACCAGGGGUUCUGAAGACAGCCGACUGGGGGCUCCCUGGAGGGGCAGGGGGCCUGUCCUAUCCUGUUCACAUCAGCAUCCCCACACAGACCCAAUGCAAGAGCUGAUGCUUUUAAGAAGUGUUUGCAGAAGGAAGAAAUGAAGUGCCAGCAGAGGGCCAGGCACACAGGAGGGGCCUCUAAACGUUGGACAAAACCACAAAGGAAUGGCCAAGGGACAGGAGCCUCCAGGAGGCAGAUCUUCGCUGGCCCUAAGGGAAGCUUUCUGACUUUGCUAGUGCCACCCUGGGCAGGCCCCGGAUGGGCAGACCCUGGCACAGCGGUUUCAGCAGUUUCUGCCUCUGUUGAUUGGGACCCUGGGAAGAGGGUGAAGCAGAAAGUAUGGAAAAUACCAGGAAGAGGAUAGACCGAGUCUCAGUCCCAAAGCCCAGGACGAGCCCAGACGGCCAAGAAGUGAUGGCCUUCGCUCUUGGGGGUGUUCAAGACUUGGAGGCAGAAUGGUGCUGUCCUGACCAGCUUGGAUUCCAGAAUCAGAAUGAUGGGAAUUAAAAUCCUGACCCUAACACUUUACUGCACCUGCGCCCCAGGAUGGGCGGCUCAGCCUCUCUGAGUGUCAGUUUUUUCAUCUGAAAAAUGGAGACGCUGACAAUUCGAAUUUGUCUUGAGACCCGCCUCAGUGGGAG